rnacentral:rRNA from 1 species
GUGUCAGCAGCCGCGGUAAUACGGAGGGUGCGAGCGUUGUUCGGAAUCACUGGGCGUAAAGCGCGUGUAGGCGGCUUCCUAAGUCUGAUGUGAAAGCCCGGGGCUUACCCCCGGAAGUGCAUUGGAAACUGAGAAGCUUGAGUACCGGAGAGGAAGGUGGAAUUCCUGGUGUAGCGGUGAAAUGCGUAGAUAUCAGGAGGAACACCGGUGGCGAAGGCGGCCUUCUGGACGGAUACUGACGCUGAGACGCGAAAGCGUGGGGAGCAAACAGGAUUAGAUACCCUGGUAGUCC